GGAGAAAUAAAAUGUAAGUCGCUCUGGAUAAUAGCGUCUGCUAAAUGACUCAAA
rfam:Salmo salar isolate Sally breed double haploid chromosome ssa14, whole genome shotgun sequence.